rnacentral:misc_RNA from 1 species
UCUCCGUUGGUGAACCAGCGGAGGGAUCAUUACAGGACUCGCAAGACUCCUUCACCCUGUGAACUCAAUACAAGAACGUUGCUUCGGCGGGUGCCGCGGCUCGCCGGGGCGCGAAGCCCGCCGGCAGCCCCUUAUACUCUGUCUCUUUGCGUUGGCAUCUCGGGAAAAAACAAACAAGUUAAAACUUUCAACAACGGAUCUCUUGGUUCUG